rnacentral:tRNA from 1 species
GCCGACGUGGUGGAAUUGGUAGACACGCUAUCUUGAGGGGGUAGUGACUCAGGUCGUGCGAGUUCGAGUCUCGCCGUCGGCA